rnacentral:lncRNA from 1 species
AACGCAAUUAAAAUUAAACUACAUUAGUAGCAAAUUUUGUUUAAGAGAAUUACAAUUUCAAAACAUUAACUUUUGAAAAAUAUGUUUAAUUUCAAUACUGAACAAAGACUAGUCUAUAGACUAACUAGCCAAUAGACCAGACUCAACUAGACUCUGACUAUUCAAUAGACCAGCCUAUAGCCUAGUCAAUAGAAUACUAUUUUGAACAAGUUUAUAUGCUAAUGAAUAGAAUAGUUAAUAUACUAGUCAGUAAACUAGUGGUUUCAUAAACUAGACCAUGGACCUGUUAAGAGCUUAGGUAUUUAACUAUUCAAUAGACCAGCCCAUUAACUAGUCAAUAUAAUAGUUUAAAGACUACUCAUUGACUAGUUAGAGGACUAGUUACCAAACACAUCAAUAUAGUUUAUAAACUAAUAAAUUACUGACUAGUUAGAAGAACCGUUGAGAGACUAGUUAGUAGACUCGUUAACGGACUAGUUGACAGUUUAUAAACUAGUCCAUAGACUGGUCAAUAGUUCGGUGCAUUGACUAGUCAGUAGACCAGUUUAUAGACUACUUAGUUGCCAGUUUAUAAACUAGUCAGUAGACCAGUCCAUAGACUCGUCAAUAGUCAAGUGUAUUGACUAGUCAGUAGACCAGUUUAUAUACUACUCAGUUGAACAGUUCAAAGACUAGUUGAGGGACUAGUUAUAAGAUCAUUGACUAUCAUUAUAAUAGUUUAAAGACUACUCUUUGACUAGCUAGUAGACUAGUUACCAAACGCAUCAAUAUAGUUUAUAAACUAGUCCAUAAUUUACUGACUAGUUAGGAGAACAGUUCAAAGACUAGUUAGUAGACCCGUUCACGGACUAGUUGACAGUUUAUAAACUAGUUAGUAGACCAGUCCAUAGACACAUAGACAAUAGUCUAGUGCAUUGACAAGUCAGUAGACCGGUUUAUAUACUACUCAGUAGAACAGUUCAAAGACUAGUUGAGCGACUAGUUAUAAGAUCAGUCCAUAGAGUAAUCAACAGAACAAUCCAUAGACUAACCAAUUGACUAGCUCAAAGACCAGUUUAUUUAAUAGUUCAAAGACUAAACAGAGAACCAGUUAAUAUGUAGACCCAUCCAUAGACUAGUCAUAAGAAUAUUAUUUGGACUAAUCAAUAGAUAAAACCAAAUACUGGUAAAUAGAAUUGUCUAAAGACCAGUUUAUAGACUAGUCAAUAAAAUAUUCUUUGUACUAAUCAAUAGAUCAAACUAUAGACUAGUCAAUAGAAUUGUCCAAAGACUAAUACAAAGACUACUCAUAUACUAAUUCGUUAAUUUUCGAAAAAAAAAUUAAUUUCAUAUAAACUUUCUUUACAAAUUUGAUUUGAAAGUUCUCAUAUUGGAAACUACACACAUAUAUUUUCAGAAAAGGAUUUUCCCUAAUUAAAGUUUAACUAUAAUAAUAACAAAGAAAAAACUACGAAUUUAGUAGCUAUUAACUUAAAACGUUAAUUCUCCUAAACAAAAUUAUAACUAAUGUAGUUUUAAAAAAAAUAAUAAUAAAAAAAACAAAAUGACCUAAACAAAAUAAAUUAAAUGAAUUAAAUAACUUAUUGUUUUUGUAGAUUAGUUUUCCUUAAUUUCAUUUAAACAUUAAACUGAAACCACCUGAUGUUUUAAGUUGAUUAUUAUUAUUAUUAAUGUAGUAAAACCAAACAUAAUUUUUGCAAUAGGAAUAGUAGAGAAUAUUAGAAUAAAUAGUCAAUGAAUAAAUAUUAAAUAAUAAAAACAAAAAGAAAAAAGAAACAAAAAAGCAUUAGUUAAGCCUCCUUUCUCCUGAUAAAACAUUUAAAAACUAACUCUCGUAACUCUCUCUCUAACUAUAUAUCUCUGUCCCUAUCUGCCAUUAUCAUAUUCCUUAAACAAAACCUAAUACUCCUAAACCUGCUCCUUCUAAAACAAACCAUAACCAAUGAACAAAACAAACAAUUUAAUAAUAAAUAUAUUUUAAAACAAAACAACUAGCCCUCCUAUUAAAACAUUUUACAAAAAAAAAAAAAAAA